GACGAACGCUGGCGGCGUGCCUAAUACAUGCAAGUUGAGCGCUGAAGGUUGGUACUUGUACCAACUGGAUGAGCAGCGAACGGGUGAGUAACGCGUGGGGAAUCUGCCUUUGAGCGGGGGACAACAUUUGGAAACGAAUGCUAAUACCGCAUAAAAACUUUAAACACAAGUUUUAAGUUUGAAAGAUGCAAUUGCAUCACUCAAAGAUGAUCCCGCGUUGUAUUAGCUAGUUGGUGAGGUAAAGGCUCACCAAGGCGAUGAUACAUAGCCGACCUGAGAGGGUGAUCGGCCACAUUGGGAAUGAGACACGGCCCAAACUCCUACGGGAGGCAGCAGUAGGGAAUCUUCGGCAAUGGACGAAAGUCUGACCGAGCAACGCCGCGUGAGUGAAGAAGGUUUUCGGAUCGUAAAACUCUGUUGGUAGAGAAGAACGUUGGUGAGAGUGGAAAGCUCAUCAAGUGACGGUAACUACACAGAAAGGGACGGCUAACUACGUG
rnacentral:rRNA from 1 species